rnacentral:rRNA from 1 species
GACGAACGCUGGCGGCGUGCUUAACACAUGCAAGUCGAACGGAAAGGCCUGCUUUCCCUUGUGGAUUGCGGGUGCUCGAGUGGCGAACGGGUGAGUAACACGUGAGUGAUCUGCCCCCAACUUGGGUAUAAGCCCGGGAAACUGGGUCUAAUUCCCGAUAGGACUGCAGGUUGGUGCCUGUGGUGGAAAACGAUUUUCUAGUGGUUGGGGAUGAGCUCGCGGCCUAUCAGCUUGUUGGUGGGGUAAUGGCCUACCAAGGCGGCGACGGGUAGCCGGCCUGAGAGGGUGGACGGCCACAUUGGGACUGAGAUACGGCCCAGACUCCUACGGGAGGCAGCAGUGGGGAAUAUUGCACAAUGGGCGGAAGCCUGAUGCAGCGACGCCGCGUGGGGGAUGACGGCCUUCGGGUUGUAAACUCCUUUCGACCGCGAGGAAGCCACCUGGUUGGAAGGGUGGUGACGGUAGUGGUAGAAGAAGCACCGGCUAACUACGUG